GGGUGUCACCAGUACUGACAAGAAAUAUGAGAAUUCAAGUUUAUCAUGAUUUGCAAAGCCAACUUGUGACUUGCUCAGUCAAAGCUUGGCCUUAGCAAUGAAAAAAGGAUGCCUGUCUCACUGAUGAGUCCUUUUCCUGCAUGUCCAGUAUCUCCACACUCUGCUAUUUAAAUGCAGUGCACAAAAAAGUUUCAUCUCACUACACCCUGCAGCAUAAAAUUUCCCUCCAUCACCUAUGGUCUAAACUCAAAAGCCAGAAAAACAUAAUUUCAAAGUGGAAUUAAAGGCUUGGAUUUCUUCUACUUAGAGAUAAAUAUUACCCAGUAUGAAUUUCAUUUCUUUCCAAAAGUCAAGCUGAAUUUUAGCUGCUGCAACUGUAUUCAUCUAUUUGCCAUCUCAGCAAGUUUUUCCUGUGUAAAUAUUGUGAUCUUAAUAAAUAAAUACUGAAGCACAGCUGGUGUUGGCAAGAUAUCACUGUGAGGUUGCUGCAGCCCUGCUAUCACCAGUGGAUGUUGCUAAUUAUUCUCAGAACUGGGAAGUAUGGGGAAAGGAAUGCAGAGCAGAGUCAACAGAGAUUGUAACAAAAAUAAAAGGGUGUCUACCUGAGUUCAGAGCAAGGACAUCUGCACACCAUGAAGAUACAAGCCAUAAAGUUAACUGGACCUAAGCCAGGGUCUCAGCUGUCGAAGUACUCCCCCCUCAACACCAGUGUCAGUGCCUGUGUGUAUGGCUGCAGUCGGAGGCCUGCAGAUUGGAAUGCUGAUGAUGGGACGCAGAAGUGCUGAGGAAUGAAUGUGUGCAUGGUAAGCAAUAAUCUGGUUGUGAGUGUCCACAACUCUUACAAAAAAUGAAGCUACCUUUGAUGGCCUCUCUUUUCUCUUUCCUUCUGUUUCCUUCUGUUUCCUUCUGUUUCCUUCU
rnacentral:lncRNA from 1 species